GGUGAUGCAGAGCUUGCUCUGCUGAUCAGUGGCGAACGGGUGAGUAACACGUGAGUAACCUGCCCUUGACUCUGGGAUAAGCGCUGGAAACGGCGUCUAAUACCGGAUACGACCUUCCCCGGCAUCGGGUGGGGGUGGAAAGAUUUUUUGGUCAAGGAUGGACUCGCGGCCUAUCAGCUUGUUGGUGAGGUAAUGGCUCACCAAGGCGACGACGGGUAGCCGGCCUGAGAGGGUGACCGGCCACACUGGGACUGAGACACGGCCCAGACUCCUACGGGAGGCAGCAGUGGGGAAUAUUGCACAAUGGGCGAAAGCCUGAUGCAGCAACGCCGCGUGAGGGAUGACGGCCUUCGGGUUGUAAACCUCUUUUGGCAGGGAAGAAGCGAAAGUGACGGUACCUGCAGAAAAAGCACCGGCUAACUACGUGCCAGCAGCCGCGGUAAUACGUAGGGUGCGAGCGUUGUCCGGAAUUAUUGGGCGUAAAGAGCUCGUAGGCGGUUUGUCGCGUCUGCUGUGAAAUCCCGAGGCUCAACCUCGGGCCUGCAGUGGGUACGGGCAAACUAGAGUGCAGUAGGGGAGACUGGAAUUCCUGGUGUAGCGGUGGAAUGCGCAGAUAUCAGGAGGAACACCGAUGGCGAAGGCAGGUCUCUGGGCUGUAACUGACGCUGAGGAGCGAAAGCGUGGGGAGCGAACAGGAUUAGAUACCCUGGUAGUCCACGCCGUAAACGUUGGGCGCUAGAUGUGGGGACCAUUCCACGGUUUCCGUGUCGCAGCUAACGCAUUAAGCGCCCCGCCUGGGGAGUAC
rnacentral:rRNA from 1 species